rnacentral:rRNA from 1 species
AUUGAACGCUGGCGGCAGGCCUAACACAUGCAAGUCGAACGGUAACAGGAAGAACUUUGCUUCUUUGCUGACGAGUGGCGGACGGGUGUGUCAUGUCUGGGAAACUGCUUGAUGGCGGGGGUUACCUACUGGAAACGGUACCUAAUACCGCAUAACGUUGCAAGCCCAUGGUUGGAUAGUUUCGGGCCUUUUGCCUUUGGCUGUGCCCUGGUUGGAUUAGCUAGUAGGUGGGGUAACGGCUUACCUAGGCGACGAUCCGUAGCUGGUCUGAGAGGGUGACCGGCCACACUGGAACUGAGACACGGUCCAGACUCCUACGGGAGGCAGCAGUGGGGAAUAUUGCGCAAUGGGCGCAAGCUUGAUGGAGCCACGCCGCGUGUAUGAAGAAGGCCUUCGGAUUGUAAAGUACUGUCAGCAGGGAGGAAGAAAGUAAAGUUAAUACCUUCGCUCAUUGACGUUACCCGCAGAAGAAGCACCGGCUAACUCCGUG